rnacentral:rRNA from 1 species
CCUACGGGUGGCUGCAGUGAGGAAUAUUGGUCAAUGGACGAGAGUCUGAACCAGCCAAGUCGCGUGAAGGAUGAAGGAUCUAUGGUUUGUAAACUUCUUUUAUAAAGGAAUAAAGUGAGGCACGUGUGCCUUUUUGUAUGUACUUUAUGAAUAAGGAUCGGCUAACUCCGUGCCAGCAGCCGCGGUAAUACGGAGGAUCCGAGCGUUAUCCGGAUUUAUUGGGUUUAAAGGGAGCGUAGAUGGGUUGUUAAGUCAGUUGUGAAAGUGUGCGGCUCAACCGUCAAAUUGCAAUUGAUACUGGCAGUCUUGAGUGCAGUAGAGGUAGGCGGAAUGCGUGGUGUAGCGGUGAAAUGCUUAGAUAUCACGAAGAACUCCGAUUGCGAAGGCAGCUUACUAAACUGCCACUGACAUUGAUGCUCGAAAGUGUGGGUAUCAAACAGGAUUAGAUACCCUUGUAGUC